rnacentral:lncRNA from 1 species
CCAGAAAUACAUAGAGAUUGUAUCUCGUGCUCCAUAAAAUACUGACUGAUUGACUCCCUUUCUUUCAAUUCAGUUUUCUGUCUGCUAACCCAAAGAGUAGAGUCUUCAAAGAGAGACUGCUGGAUCUGCAGAAACAAAAUAAAUUCGCCCCUUCCCUAUGACCCUUAAUGAACCAAAACUGGGAAACGAUUUGUGGGAAGAGGCUGCAAAGAAACAACUGAAAAGCAAGAGAGCUUCUGGACACGCGGAUUCACAUUUUGUCGUCUCUGUCACCAGCCACUGUGUGGUACAAUGUCUUCUGAGUCCUGAGAAUUAGGACUGGUUCACAUAGAUCACUGCAGAAAAUGGAUCUCUUUCUCUCUUUCAGGAAAAAAACUCCAAAAAACUAACCAAACAAAUAAAAACACCCCCAAACACCA